UUAAUCACUUUCUUUCACUUUUUUAUUAUCCAUUUUGUAUGCUGUGCUUACUUCUUCAUAUCUAGUGUGUAUAUACUUACAGACUUCAACUUGUAGAUCUUAAGUUUGAAUCUUGAUACAGGGAUGGGAAAAUAGUGGGGUUCUGUUCUCUUUUGUAUUGAAAGCCAUACUGAAUCUACAUAUGUACCAAAAAAGAAAAG